GCCUGGGAAUAUGCCUUAGUGUGGGGGAUNNCUNUNGGAAACGAUAGCUAAUACCGCAUAAUGUCUUCGGACCAAAGAGGGGGAUCUUCGGACCUCUCGCGCUAAGAUUAGCCCAGGUGAGAUUAGCUUGUUGGUGAGGUAAGAGCUCACCAAGGCGACGAUCUCUAGCUGGUCUGAGAGGAUGAUCAGCCACACUGGAACUGAGACACGGUCCAGACUCCUACGGGAGGCAGCAGUGGGGAAUAUUGCACAAUGGGCGAAAGCCUGAUGCAGCCAUGCCGCGUGUAUGAAGAAGGCCUUCGGGUUGUAAAGUACUUUCAGUCGUGAGGAAGGNUGUGUAGUUAAUAGCUGCANAUCUUGACGUUAGCGACAGAAGAAGCACCGGCUAACUCCGUGCCAGCAGCCGCGGUAAUACGGAGGGUGCGAGCGUUAAUCGGAAUUACUGGGCGUAAAGCGCAUGCAGGUGGUUCAUUAAGUCAGAUGUGAAAGCCCGGGGCUCAACCUCGGAACCGCAUUUGAAACUGGUGAACUAGAGUGCUGUAGAGGGGGGUAGAAUUUCAGGUGUAGCGGUGAAAUGCGUAGAGAUCUGAAGGAAUACCAGUGGCGAANGCGGNCCCNUGGACAGACACUGACACUCAGAUGCGANAGCGU
rnacentral:rRNA from 1 species